UGGUAUCUACUAAAGCUUACAAUUUAUGCUGUUGAUAAUUUCUCUAGCAAUUAUUAUUCACUUUUUAUCAGUAACCUCUUUCUUGUGUUGUUUGACGAUUCUAUAGAUGUUACAUAGAUAAUAUACUUUCUAUGUCAGUGGCUACAGGCCUUAGGAAGUGAAGAUCUACGUGGUUAUUUAACUGUCUGUACUUUCUUCUUCUGCUUCUCAUACAGGAAAUUCCAUCAGACACUGAAGAUAGCUUAACGUUGGAGUUUGAACAAGAUGUGCUUCCUCCUAGUCCCAGAGUCAACGCUCACUCAAAGUCAGGUUAUGAGAAUAUUGAGGACCUCUUUGAACUCGACGACUCCCUGUACUUUGACCAGCAAUUCGAGAUCAAGCUGAAGGAAGAAGAUGAGAGUGAUGUUGCUUGCUUUUAAACGAGUUCUGAUUAUGUUGUGUCAGUUUUAAGUCCAGGUGCUGUAGCAGAUCAGAGUGGUCGCAUGUUGUUAAUCUGCUUGCUUUAGUUAUUUUACCUUUUAAACACUUUGCGGGUGUGGGUUAGUUCAUUAUGAUGCUAACUUGUGUGACAACUUGUUUGCUGCUAUUAACUGAUGAGCGUGCGUUGCUUUGUUCAGAAAUUUAUAAUGAAUUCGGGAUAUUAUUAUCUGUA